AUUGAACGCUGGCGGCAUGCCUUACACAUGCAAGUCGAACGGUAACGCGGGGCAACCUGGCGACGAGUGGCGAACGGGUGAGUAAUGUAUCGGAACGUGCCCAGUUGCGGGGGAUAACUGCUCGAAAGAGCAGCUAAUACCGCAUACGACCUGAGGGUGAAAGCGGGGGAUCGCAAGACCUCGCGCAGUUGGAGCGGCCGAUAUCAGAUUAGGUAGUUGGUGGGGUAAAGGCUCACCAAGCCAACGAUCUGUAGCUGGUCUGAGAGGACGACCAGCCACACUGGGACUGAGACACGGCCCAGACUCCGACGGGAGGCAGAAGUGGGGAAUUUUGGACAAUGGGCGCAAGCCUGAUCCAGCCAUGCCGCGUGCGGGAAGAAGGCCUUCGGGUUGUAAACCGCUUUUGUCAGGGAAGAAAAGACUCCUGUUAAUACCGGGGGUUCAUGACGGUACCUGAAGAAUAAGCACCGGCUAACUACGUGCCAGCAGCCGCCGUAA
rnacentral:rRNA from 1 species